UAAUACGGAGGGUGCAAGCGUUAAUCGGAAUUACUGGGCGUAAAGCGCACGCAGGCGGUUUGUUAAGUCAGAUGUGAAAUCCCCGGGCUCAACCUGGGAACUGCAUUUGAAACUGGCAAGCUAAGAGUCUCGUAGAGGGGGGGUAGAAUUCCAGGUGUAGCGGUGAAAUGCGUAGAGAUCUGGAGGAAUACCGGUGGCGAAGGCGGCCCCCUGGACGAAGACUGACGCUCAGGUGCGAAAGCGUGGGGAGCAAACAGGAUUAGAUACCCUGGUAGUCCACGCUGUAAACGAUGUCGAUUUGGAGGUUGUGCCCUUGAGGCGUGGCUUCCGGAGCUAACGCGUUAAAUCGACCGCCUGGGGAGUACGGCCGCAAGGUU
rnacentral:rRNA from 1 species